UCAUAAAAUUACACAUUUUUUACUUGUUAGUAAAAAGAGAGAGGGAAUAUUUUCUAAAAAAAAGAGAGGUUUGAAUUUUGAAAACAAAACUCAAUUCAUACUCCCUCGAGACAUUUCUCACAGACGGUACAAACACUUCAACUCUCAUAUUCCAUCUUCUUCUUACAAGCUACAAUAUAACCCAUACUCUCUUUUUCUCUCUAUUAAAAAAAAAAUGUCAUUUUAUAGACACCAUCUCCUACCCACCUUUUUACUACAAGUGCAUUACACUACUACACUAUAAACAACAACUAUAAAAACACUUAUUUCUUCACAACAAGAAAAAUUCUCUUCUUCUAACACUCAUCCUCACUCCUUCUAUACCAUAUAAUAUCAUAAAAAACUCUUCCAUUUUUCAUUUUACAAAACUCAUAAAACUAACAAUCAAACUCCAUCUUCAUACAUAAACUUUCAUGCACAUUUAAAUUAUAACCAACAACCUCCAUAACCAAAGAACAACCACCACACAAGACAACAAUUAUUCAU
rnacentral:lncRNA from 1 species